CUGAGCACUGGAGCCUGCUGCUCUGGCAGCCAGCCAUAUCCUGUCCUGCCCCACAGGAUCCAGGGGGUUAUCCUCCAACCAUUUGUUCCUGGCAUCCUGCUGAGUCAGUUUUGACUGUCCCUGGUAUGAAUAAUUGUCAGGCUUGGUACUUAAAUACCUGGACACUGUGUGAAUAAUGAGGCCCUUGUACCUUCUGAACAAGUUUACAAAACCACCUAAAUUCUUGUGGGCUUUCUUGCAGUAGGGACAGUCAGCAGCACUGCUGUUUUAAUGGCAGUGAAUUUGACUUCUGCAGAAAUACUGUCUUGAACUUAUUUAUCUUAAGAUUUUUCUUUCUUGAGGAUAUAAAGAAGUAAAAAGUUUUGAGGAAAUAGUAGAAUUUUAAUGCCAAUAUCAUCUUAACUGAAAGCAAAGAAGCACAUGACAUUGAGAGCUUGAAAGCUUUGUUAAAAAUUCUCUUGUUAGCAGUUAGAGCGUGUCUCUCUGACAGCUAACUGCCUUAUACAGGGUUCAAGCUUCUGACAUCUGAAACUUUUUUCACUUAAAUUUUGUCUUAAAUUUCUACCAUAUUCAGAAAGGGGGCAUGGGUUGUAGAAUUUCACCGUCUCCUGCUCUUAGUAGCCACUAUGUAGAAUUGGUUUUUGCUAACAGUAAAUUUAAUUACCUGAAAUGAAUGCAGUACAACCAAAAGAAACUAUUUCACCAUCUUCCAACUUAGGAAGUUAUGUAAUGCUUUGAGACAAAGAUAUCAUAAAGAGCUUUUUUCUUUUCUCUUAUUUUCAUUGAGUUACUUGCACUGAAUUCUCUAGUUUCUUUCUCAUAAACUUAAGUGGGAAAAAAUACAUUGUGCUCUUUCACUUGUAAAGUCCAGAAUAAGAGAACACGCUUUAGGACUUUAAUGAAGGAACCUGGCAAUGUAAGUAUUGUAAUUUCCUUUAUGUUUUUAGUAGGCAGCUGGUGGCCUUGUUAAACUUAUGGGUUAUGUAUGAAAAAUCACAAGAGCAAAAUAAAAAUAGUUUUGUAGUUGCCUUUACUUCACAUGCUUUUCUUAAACAACAAAUUGCAGUAAUUGAAGUUUGGCAGCUUUUUUUUUUUUAAGAAAAAGCUAAAUUAUGGGUAAAACACCUUGGUUUAAUACAAUUUGUGUUUCUGUUAACUAGCAGCAGAAUUACAGCAUUUGCUACUUACUGGUAGAGAAGAAAAAUUCCACAGAACUGCCAGUACAGCAUUCACUUUACAAAGAAGAUUAAAAGAAAAUGAGGAGCUGACAUGAUUUGCAUCCACUGGGAACCUUCUCUGAACUGUUCUUCAAGAAUGGGUCAUUGCACACACAGCCAUCCGUAAUGUGUGACAUUUUGUAACCGUCUCUGAUUAAACAGAAGUGAACCGCUGUUUGUGUGUAUUUUUCUUUUCUCCUCUUGAAAACCUAUUUAAAUUACUGCAACAGAUGUCAUGGUGAGAAUGACUUGGUACCAGCUUUUUGAUUCUCUGUAAGCUGCAGAGACUCAUUUGUGUCAGUUCUGACUUAAAGUGGAGACAAACAAGUGAAUCCUAACUUCUUGACCUGUAACUUCCUUUUGCUGUUGAUCUGCUGUCCUGCUGCUAAGCAGACUAGAAAAAGCUAUUGAAGUUAGAGGAGUGAGAGUAUGGAGGAAAAAUUUCUAAAAGUGUUUUCAUAAAAGUUGGUGGCACGGGCAUUAUGGGAGGUGCUCUGUUCUAAACCCUUUCUGAGCAGAGAGAUGAGGUAGCUUGGGAAAUGGCACCUCCUGUGUAUGGGGUGAGAAUGGAUUACUGUGCUAGGCUGGCUGGGCUUAUUUAGCUACCACUGUUCACUCAUGGGUUAGUUUCUGAGAGCUGGUAAAGGGAAGAUAAAUAGAUAAUUUUACGCUAUGGCAUUUUGCAUUGGCUGUGUGUGACAAGGAGGAGGUGCAGUAGAGGACCCUUCAAGGGAACACUGCUGCUGUGCAGAAGUUCCUAAUGGGCAUUUGUCCUCUGGCCUUUUCAGCUCCAGGAAAUCUGAGAGUUUAUAUUCCAGAAGCAUAGGUACAUUUGACAGAUACUGGAUCAAUGUUGUUCAAGUCAUACAGCUAUUGAUAAAAUUUUGUAACUGUUGAUUUGUUACUAUCCUAAUAUAUAGCCUUUAACUUAUUCUUGUGAGUUGCCUUAUAAAAUUGUACAGCUAUUGAUAUUGUCAAUAUUCUAGAAGUGUAUGUAUAAAAGUUUGUGAUAAUAUGUAAUGUAAAUUUGAGUACUGAAUCAAGGUCAGUGCACAGACACAUUCUGAAGUUAAACAGAGAUUACACAAAAGAUGUUUGUCCUGGGUUUACUAUCUUCUGCAGAGGGCCCUGCAAAAGACAGUAAACCCAACAUUAGUUUAGGAAAAGCCUUAAGGUUGAUGUUCUAGACUGUGAAAAACAAAACUAAAUAGAGAACUUAGAACUUAACUUUUUUUAGUUAUUUAUUUGGUCACUAUUAUAGUUGUUUAUUCUGAUGUUGCCCGGUGGUUACCCAGGAACAGUCCACUUUUAGUUUUAAAUGUGAGACUGGACCCUUCCAGUGCUGUACCCUCUAAGAGCACAGUGCACACAGUACUGUACUACAUACCUUAGGUUCUUUUGAUGGCUGGAUCAUUUUCAACCUCAACAUCGAAAGCGACAAGACCAUAAAAUGAAAAGCCUAAAUAAAAGGUCACAUUUUCAUUUCCAACAGGUGCUGAUUCAUGAUGGAGUGGCAAGACACGGAGUUCCUUCCCGUGACCUCGUAUAAAUAAUUGUGUGUCCUUGGACCAGCCAGAAACUCUUUUGAGAUUGUCACGAAUUUUGGGAAUAUUCCAUACAGUUCCAUGCUGCCACUUCAUUCUCCUCUCAUCUAAGGACCCCACCAUCAGUUUCUCAAUUUUAGUUUUGUGCACUAUCUUACUUAAGCCAUAACCCUUUCCCAGAAGAAAAUGGGUGUAGAUUCUUUUCUUUCUGGUAGGAACAUCUUUCCUUUUGAUGUCAUAUAAGCGUUUCAGAGUUUGAAGGGCUGAAGUUAAAAUUUCAUCAUUAAUGGGAUUAGGCUCUUUGUCUAAUGCCUCAUCUGGCCAGUACAGCAAGGUGAGCAAAAAAUAGGCACUUGCUGGAAAUUGUCUCUUUCCUUUGAAGAAUCUUAGACUGAGCUCACGAAGAGUUGGCAGUGGAAGGAGUUUGGCUGAUCCUGGGGCUAAGCAGGCUAAUGUGAUGUGGCACAAGAUAAAAUUGACCAAAUCAUUGUCCUCCAACUUGUUCCUCAGCGGGUUUUCUGGAUAGAAACUAAGGAUCCUUUCUAGCUUUUCAGCUGACCUGUUCUCUUUCUUAUCUGAUAAGAAAGACAGGAUAUUGGUGACAUUUCCUCCACCACUCCCAUAAAUACUCAUGUGUCUCAUGAGCUGAGUGUCAGGACCAUUGUUGCUGUCAUCUAGAAGUGAUGCUGAGAUGAAGAAUUUAGCGUAUACAGCUGCUUGCUUUCUCAGCCAUUUUCUGGGAUUAUGAAUUUGUUCUUCUUUAUCAUCAUUUUCAUCAUCCUUCUCUUGGUUUUUAUCUGUUUGGAAGUAACUUAGUUCUUCUGAAAUCCAUUCCAGAGCAUUGUACAGGUUCUGGCGCAAGCCUUUCAAGCGGGAAUGAAGCCUUCCCCAUGCUCUUUUUAUGUCUUCAGGAAUGUAAUCCGUGGUGAGAUAUUUCACUAGCUCAGUAUGUUCCCCCUCUGGACCUCUGUGGAAUACAGGCAGUGUGGAUAAAAAUCGAAGAAGGCGACAACCUACUUCUACUUCUCCAAAAUAGCCAGCGUUGUUCAUAAUUUCACGUUCUUCCUUUGCUGCCUGUUGUGCAGCCCUGAAGCAUUUCAUAGCUUUAAGAGCAAGCAAUAUCUUCUCAGUGAUCCUUUCAGGAGUAUCUUCCUCUGUCAUUUUAUCCACAGUGAAACCAAACCAUCUCCUGUAAACUUGACCUUCUGUAUCCAAAAUAAAAGAAUCAGUUGGCAAAUGUGAUUUUGCAACCUUUGCCCAGUGUUCAGCAUCUUCAAAUUUUUCAUUGCUGUAAUUUAGUCUGGCAAGCUGCUGGGCAAAAAAAGGAUCUUUUCCAAGGAGUUCAUACGCAGCUUUUAAAACCGCGAUGGCUUUUUCACAGUCUUCAGCUGCACAGACAUGUUCAAUGAAUGGGGAGAAGAGAGUGUCAGUAUUGUCACCCCUGCUUCUUUUAUCACGUCGAAUAAACAGAUGUCUGAUAAACUUUAUAAA